UACGGAGGGAGCUAGCGUUGUUCGGAAUUACUGGGCGUAAAGCGCGCGUAGGCGGCUUUGUAAGUUAGAGGUGAAAGCCCGGGGCUCAACUCCGGGACAGCCUUUAAGACUGCAUCGCUAGAAUCCGGGAGAGGUGAGUGGAAUUCCGAGUGUAGAGGUGAAAUUCGUAGAUAUUCGGAAGAACACCAGUGGCGAAGGCGGCUCACUGGACCGGUAUUGACGCUGAGGUGCGAAAGCGUGGGGAGCAAACAGG
rnacentral:rRNA from 1 species